CUCUUUGCAUUUCUGAUAUAGAGGCAUUUGUAGACAAUUUAUACCACUGCUGCUGUGAUACACUUAGCGUUUUUAACCUUAAGUUGUUAAAUCUAUUAAAUAUUCUAAAUAUUGUGGUAUUCGAAUUCAUUCUGCUAGAUUGAGGCUACAC